CAGUCGCCACGGUAAUACGAGGGGGGCAAGCGUUGUUCGGAAUUAUUGGGCGUAAAGGGUGCGUAGGCGGCUUGACAAGUCUUGUGUGAAAUCUAUGGGCUCAACCCAUAGUCUGCACGGGAAACUGUCGGGCUUGAGAAUGGGAGAGGUGAGUGGAAUUUCCGGUGUAGCGGUGAAAUGCGUAGAUAUCGGAGGGAACACCUGUGGCGAAAGCGGCUCACUGGACCAUUUCUGACGCUGAUGCGCGAAAGCUAGGGGUGCAAACAGGAUUAGAUACCCCCGUAGUCCCUGUCUCUUAUAC
rnacentral:rRNA from 1 species